rnacentral:rRNA from 1 species
GAUGAACGCUGGCGGCGUGCCUAAUACAUGCAAGUCGAGCGAACAGACGAGGAGCUUGCUCCUCUGACGUUAGCGGCGGACGGGUGAGUAACACGUGUAUAACCUACCUAUAAGACUGGUAUAACUUCGGGACACCGGAGCUUAUACCGGAGAAUAUCUUGAUCCGCAUGGGUCAAUAGUGAGAUACGGUGUUGUUGUCGCUUGUGGAUGGAUUUGCGCCGCAUUAGCUUGUUGGUGGGGUAAUGGCUUAUCAAGGCUUUGAUGGGUAGCCGGCGUGAGAGGGUGACCGGCCACAUUGGGACUGAGAUACGGCCCAGAGUCCUACGGGAGGAAGCAGUGGGGAAUAGUGCACAAUGGGCGGAAGCCUGAUGCAGCAACGCCGCGUGCGGGAUGACGGCCUUCGGGUUGUAAACCGCUGUCGCCUGUGACGAAGCGUGAGUGACGGUAAUGGGUAAAGAAGCACCGGCUAACUACGUG